AUGCUAGUGUGUUCCAAGAUCUUUUUCUGGCCAAAGGAAGGUUUGUGAAGAUGGCAGUGAAGGAGAAAGCGUUCUGGAGCGGAUCCUAUGGAGAAUGAUCAAAUCUGUUUGUUGGGAGUCGCUAAGGGAGAUUUUGUAUCCAACAACAGGGCAGGAAGCACCAUGAGAAGGUAGAGAGGGAACUAAAUCUGUCCAAAAGGCAUAGCUGUUCAGCAAGCCAGUCAGAACUGAAAUCAGAAAGCAUCAUUUCGUACAAAGGACGGUGAAUAGAAUUCUCCCUCCCUCAUUCCACCCUUAAAGGAUGCUGGAUAUGGGGAGUAGGUGGGUAAAUAGAAUGGAGAUACUUGUUGGUCAAGAACCAAUAACCAAGCUCAAGACAAAAACAGAAUUACCUGGAAAAACUCAGCAGGUCUGGCAGCAUCGGCGGAGAAGAAAAGAGUUGACGUUUCGAGUCCUCAUGACCCUUGAAUAGUCGACUCCUAUUUCCUUCACUAUAGGAAAGCUGUUGGCCGCCACUUUGGAUGAAGCAACUUGUUAAUUAUUAAGUAAUAGUUAAGGUAACUGCAGUGAUAUAUUUUAAACCAUAGCUGCCUUUAUGCAGUCACUUUGUUUCAGUAUUGCCAUCUCUAUAAACUUCAACUUCGGUACAUGAAAUUCAGUGCUUAGAAGCUUCUGCUGUCUUGCAAUAACUUACUGUGCUGCUUCAUGGAGGCUGGGUUACAGGUCACAGGAUAUUGAACAUUUCAAUAAAUGGGCUUUUGUUAUAUGCAA